UGGGGAAUUUUGCGCAAUGGGGGAAACCCUGACGCAGCAACGCCGCGUGAGUGAUGAAGGCUUUCGGGUCGUAAAGACUCUUGUCGAGUGGGAAGGGAUGAGAGUGGCUAACUACCCGCUUUUCUUGACGGUACCCCACAAAGGAAGCACCGGCUAACUCCGUGCCAGCAGCCGCGGUAA
rnacentral:rRNA from 1 species